ensembl:lncRNA
UAAAAGAAACAUUCGGCACCAGGGGCAGGUCAAGGCGAGGCAGUCACGUGGCUGGCUCCCUGGCCAAUGCGGGGCUCAGGGAGGACUGAGCACCCGCCUUGCCCCAACACCAGGCUCGCUUCUUCAGCUCAUAUAAGGUAAAAGGCAGCAAGGCCUCCGUGGCCAGAGAGCCACGGGCAAGGGGCUGAGUAGAGGGGGGUCCGAUGGCAGUUGCUUAAAAAUGCCCCCGUAGCAUCAAGAGGUGCCAGCCGAGUCAACUUAGGUGAGAAGCAGUGACACCCACAACCAUACCCCAAACAGGGUGAGCCUCUGAAGAGUCAUCCCUGGGCCAGACAACAGCCAAGGCAAGAAUGAUGGCUAGUAGGCUCCUGCCCGCCCCCCUACACUCGAGAAUGAAGAGCCUGUGAGAGAAAUUUUCCCAAGAAGUAGAAAAGGCAUGGCGGUGGAAGCCCUGUUCCCAGAACUAACUGAGCUUCCCAACAGACAGAAGCCAGAGAGUCCCUAGCCUAGAGACAUUUUCUGAAGACCUGUGGAAAAGGAAAAAAAGCGGGCUGUCCCCUGCAGCAUGCCUCCAAGGGGCCGAGAGACAACACCUAGAGCACCAGCCAGGAGAAAAGGCUGCCUCUCCCUUCAGACAACCCCCAAAGUAUGUCAUCCAGCAUCAAGGCCACCACAGUCACCAUGAAGCAAGGGUCUUCUGGGGACCCUGGAAUCUUGGCAAAAGCAGGUACGUGCCAGAAGAGAGCACCAGAUCACAUUACAGAUGGUUGUGAGCCACCAUGUGGUUGCUGGGAAUUGAACUCAGAACCUCUGGAAGAACAGUCAGUGCUCUUAACACCUGAGCCAUCUCUCCAGACCCAGAAGACACUUCUGAAGAGAGACCACCUCCUGCUCACACUCUGAGGCUGUUGUUGACCCCCCCCCCCGGCUCUUUACCAUCUGCCAGGCCCCAUGUUACACAUUCACAACACUGCUCGGUCCUCACGCCACCCAGUGAAAUAGCACUCAAGGAGUCCAAGGCUAAAAGAGGUUAAGACACCCUUGGGACACUCUCAGGAGUUGUGACACUAGGAUCCAGUCAAUGCUUACCACUCUCACCAUCAUACUGUGCCCCACCCAUUUGACCUGGUUGCCUCAGUCUGCUCCCCCCGCCACCCCUCUCCAAUGCCCCUCCCAUGACUCUCCCACUGGGGAAGAAAAGCAAGCCUUCUUCUCUGUGUUCUUCAACAGUAAUAAAGUGCUGGAGCUUUGCUUUGUGUCCUGUGUCUUCCUGGGAGUAUGGGGGUACGGAAGAAUGUUCCAGUAUUCACUUCUAUAAAUCCCCAAGUGCCUCCACUUGCCAGACACUUGCAGAGGCCAGUACAGACAACCAGGAGCCACCUUUGGCCUGCCCAUCACGUUCCUGUUGUCUCAGGAUGCUUCCAGGCCAUGACUCAAAAUGUGUAGAGGCUUGUGGGAAGACAGGGACAUUUAAAGUUAAGCAAGGGCCACAGAGGAGUUUGGGAGUCUAACAAAUGGCGAUCCCUCUCCCUCCAUUCCAUUCUAGGAAACACAGUAUAAAAUCAAAUAUUCACAUGUCACACAAGUGUGUGACUCUGAGUGACCUCAGGUUUAUGCCCAGCUCUGCAAUGACACAACUUGAGUUGUACCCCAGGCCACAAAGCUAACAUACGAGGAUUUUCUUUCUUUUUUAAGAUAGAAUCUCACCAUAUGUAGCCCCACCAUGCAGCCCAGGCUGGCCUUGAACUUUCAGUCAUCUUUGCUUCCGCCUCCAAGGGCUGGGGUUGGGUUGCAGAAAUGUCUCAGUGGUUAAGAGUACUUAAUGUGGGCUGGAGAGAUGGCUCAGAGGUUAAGAACACUGCUUGCUCUUCCAGAGGUCCUGAGUUCAAUUCCCAGCAACCACUUGGUGGCUCACAACCAUCUGUAAUGAGAUCUGGUGCCCUCUUCUGGCCUGCAGGGAUACAUGCAGACAGAACACUGUACACAUCAUAAAUAAAUAAAUCUUUAAAAAAAAAAAAAAAGAGUACUUGAUGUUUCAGAUGACUUGGUUUCAAUCCCCAAAACCCAUGUCGGGAGAUUUGUAAACAGAGGCAGAGCUUUCCUGUUGUCCCAACAGCCCGGUUUCAAAUAAUCACACAAAAGCUUAUAUUAAUUACAAAAUGUUUGGCCUAUAUUCAGGCUUAUAAUUAACUAGCUCUUGCUACUUAAAUUAACCCAUUUCUAUUAUUAUUAUUGUUAUCAUUCUGGUUUUUCAAGACAUGGUUUUUCUGUGUAUCUUUGACUGUCCUGGAACUUGCUCUGUAGUCCAGGCUGGCCUGGAACUCACAGAAAUCCACCCACCUCUGGGAUUAAAGGUGUGUGCCACCACUGCCCGAAACCCAUUUCUAUUAAUCUACAUUUUGCCUCGUGGCUUUGUGGCUUUACCUGUUCUCUAGCACAUCUUGUUCCUCUGGAGGUUGGCUCAACUCUGCCCUUCUUUCUCACUAUCUGUUUGGCUUUCCCGCCUAGCCUUAUUCUUCCUGGAAAUAGGUCAAUCCAGCCUUAUUAUUAACCAAUAAGAGGAAUGCACAGUCACAGAAUACAGGAUUAUCCCACAGCAGAGAUUCACAACUGCUUGUAACUCCAGGGACGUGGCUCUAGGAGAUUCUGUACCCUCUUCUGGCUUCCAUGGGCACCUACACAGAAAUAUACACUUAAGUAAAAUAGGACGGACCCCAAGGACUGGGUUUAUAGGUAUGUACCACUAAGUACCAGGACACUCAAGAGGGUGUCUUAUGCGAUUCCUCCAAACCUCUGUAGUUAGACUACUAAAAGCUCUUUGACAUGGC